GGCCGCAAGGUGAACAUCGAAAAGUCCUUUAGAAAAUGAAUCCCGCUCCACAGUCGCGCAUCUACACAAUAUUUAGUUCAUAAAAAAGAAAGUCGUGCUUAGCUACCAAAAAAAAGUUUGUCGCUGAAUUUGCCGUCGAUUCUCGAUGCGACUAUGUUUUAUGCCGAACUAGUUUCUUCAGAGCGUAAUAUGAUCUUGGUCACGAGUAGUGGCACGGUUCGACACGUGAUCGGUCUACACCAAUGAGGUAGCUGCUUUUUGUCAACAGAAUGGCAAGAUGGCGUCCUCGAGCAGUACGGAAGACGAAGAAAAUACACCGGAAUAUAUUAAUAAAUCAAAAAACAAACAUUGUUUUAUGCAUAUUACUUCAGUCAAGCACGAGGAGGUACAUCAUUUCACCACUACACGAUGGAAUACAUACAGGACAAGCCUACAAACGUGGCUCGGGUUGGACGGUGAGUCUCGGGACGUGGCUGAGAACUUCGAACACUGUGUUGAUGUGGAGUUUGACAAUAUUCCCGAGGAUGCUGGCUUCCAUCACACGUGCUACUGUAGAUUUACGGACAAAAAAUCCAUGGCAAAGGUGGAAAGAAGGAGAAGUUCGUCAACCGAGCAGGCAAACGACAAAGGGAUACUCUGUCAAAGGCUGAAACAUUAACAGCAGGCCAAUUGCAGAAAGCUGCCGAGUUGAAGGACGACCAAAGUAUUCUUUUGCAUAUAAAAGACAGACUGUGUGGCUCUGGAGGUGCAGUACCACAAAGGCUGUUAUAAUCAGUACACCAGGUUUUUGACGAGGCCUGAAAAACCAGAGAAAGACCAGAAUGAGCCCACGUUUGAUGUCAGCGAUAAGAUAUUCUGUGAAAGGAUCAUUGGCCAAAGGCUGCUUGUCAACCAAGAGGUGCUGAGAAUGGGCCAGCUGAAGAAGGCCUUCAUUGAACUGACAGGAUAUGUUGAAGGAGAGGCUGGCUCGUGAUUUCCCCCAGCUGGUGUUUCACAUUCCCACCAAGCGCAACAUCUGCGAGCUGGUUUUUGCAGAGACCCUGUCAACCAUUGACAUUACCAAGGUGUCAUCAGCUCUCGGAACCAGUGUGUGUUCAGCCUUGAUCGGGAAUUCACACAUUCUCUGGGUGUGACUCCACAAGUGCCUUUUAUGGCAAAGGGAAAAAAAAGACAUUUUCUGUUGCAUGUGAGAAAGGUGAGUACCUAAAGGCUUUUAAAAGUUUAGGUACUCACUUUAACUUGGAGCAGUCAACAUUUGCACUUCUUUGCCAGUAUGUGUGCCGCUUAUAUGAUCAGCCAGCUGCCGAUAAUGUAAAUGAAGCUAGGUACAAGGCUUUCUGUAUGGCAUCAUCAGCCUUGCCAGAAAUAUGCAUUCCCCCAACUACUGAUGCCCUCCAACAGCACUGCAAACGGGCAAACUACCAGGCUGCAAUAAUGAGGUCCUGUCGCAAACAAAAAAGAAGUGCUCCGUCACCUGCUGGAUAUGGUUGGCAAAUAGAGGAUGGGACCUUGCACAUCACCUGGAUGACCAGAAAUCCGGCCCCUGACAGUGUUUUCCAUGUCAUACACUGCAGCUGCAAAGGUGCCUGUGAGACAGGAAGAUGUUCCUGUUUUUCUGCAGGAUUGUGUUGCACAGACUUCUGUCGUUGCUGUAAUUGUGCCAACACCAAAGACACCGAGCAACUGGAAGACAACUGUCCUGACACUGACAGUGAGGACUGAGCGUCCUUAAUGUUAUUUCUUUUGUAGUUUUGUACAGUUUUAUAUAUGUCAUAUUUUUCAUAAAGAUUGUUUCUAUUGUU